rnacentral:rRNA from 1 species
UACAGAGGGUGCGAGCGUUAAUCGGAAUUACUGGGCGUAAAGGGCGCGUAGGUGGAUUAGAAAGUUGGAUGUGAAAUCCCUGGGCUCAACCUAGGAAUUGCAUUCAAAACUACUAGUCUAGAGUACAGUAGAGGGAAGUGGAAUUUCCGGUGUAGCGGUGAAAUGCGUAGAGAUCGGAAGGAACACCAGUGGCGAAGGCGGCUUCCUGGACUGAUACUGACACUGAUGUGCGAAAGCGUGGGGAUCAAACAGG